CCUACGGGGGGCUGCAGUGGGGAAUAUUGGACAAUGGGCGAAAGCCUGAUCCAGCCAUGCCGCGUGUGUGAAGAAGGCCUUCGGGUUGUAAAGCACUUUCAGUGGGGAAGAAAGCCUUGGGGCUAAUACCCUCGAGGAAGGACAUCACCCACAGAAGAAGCACCGGCUAACUCCGUGCCAGCAGCCGCGGUAAUACGGAGGGUGCGAGCGUUAAUCGGAAUUACUGGGCGUAAAGCGCGCGUAGGCGGUCUGAUAAGCCGGUUGUGAAAGCCCCGGGCUCAACCUGGGAACGGCAUCCGGAACUGUCAGGCUAGAGUGCAGGAGAGGAAGGUAGAAUUCCCGGUGUAGCGGUGAAAUGCGUAGAGAUCGGGAGGAAUACCAGUGGCGAAGGCGGCCUUCUGGACUGACACUGACGCUGAGGUGCGAAAGCGUGGGUAGCAAACAGGAUUACAUACCCCGGUAGUC
rnacentral:rRNA from 1 species